UACGGAGGGGGUUAGCGUUGUUCGGAAUUACUGGGCGUAAAGCGUACGUAGGCGGAUUAGUAAGUUGGGGGUGAAAUCCCGGGGCUCAACCCCGGAACUGCCUCCAAAACUACUAGUCUUGAGAUCGUGAGAGGUGAGUGGAAUUCCGAGUGUAGAGGUGAAAGUCGUAGAUAUUCGGAGGAACGUCGGUGGCGAAGGCAGCUCACUGGCGCGAUACUGACGCUGAGGUACGAAAGUGUGGGGAGCAAACAGG
rnacentral:rRNA from 1 species